rnacentral:rRNA from 1 species
AGGGAAUAUUGCGCAAUGGGGGAAACCCUGACGCAGCGACGCCGCGUGAAGGAAGAAGGUCUUCGGAUCGUAAACUUCUUUGACUGGGGACGAAAGUAAUGACGGUACCCAGGGAACAAGCCACGGCUAACUACGUGCCAGCAGCCGCGGUAAUACGUAGGUGGCGAGCGUUGUCCGGAAUUACUGGGUGUAAAGGGCGUGUAGGCGGGAGAGCAAGUCAGAUGUGAAAGCCCAAGGCUCAACUUGGGGACUGCAUCUGAAACUGUUUUUCUUGAGUACUGGAGAGGGAAGCGGAAUUCCUAGUGUAGCGGUGAAAUGCGUAGAGAUUAGGAGGAACACCAGUGGCGAAGGCGGCUUCCUGGACAGAGACUGACGCUGAGGCGCGAAAGCGUGGGGAGCGAAC